ACCUGGUGCUGAGGCGAGGGUUGAGGU
rnacentral:piRNA from 1 species